rnacentral:lncRNA from 1 species
GUGGUCGAGGUCCGUUGGGUCUGCCUCCCUGCCGUAGCUGAGUAAGCUCGGCGGUUAUAGCCCUAAGGCUCUCCCUCAACUCUUCAUUGUCGGCUAGGAGCUGAGCGUUUAUGGCCGCUUGAUCUUGACCUACAUCUCCCAUAGUUUCUCUGAAAAGAUACUCAAAGAAAAAUUAGAGGCAAGAGGGAUUAAAUAGUAGCUUGGGGUUGGAUACUUGAGUAUCGACCAAGGCUAAAAGUAAAUGCUAAAAUUUAUGAAUAAAAUCGAAUCAAGUUGAAAAAGGAAAGAUGAAUAAUUUUUUUUGAUUUUCGAAAACUUGGAAAGAAAGUAAAACUUCUUUUAAUUUUUUUUUUUUUAAAAUGCAAAAAUCGAAAACUUGGAGAACAAUCCGAAAAUUUUUUUAAAAAAGGAAAGUAAAUAUUUUUUUUUUUGAAUUGUGACGGCUAGGGUUCAGAAAGAACUGAGUUUCGCAGGAAACUUCAGCUCUGAUACCAAAAUGUUGUAGGCACGGGUCGGAGGUUCGAACGGAUGGACGGAUGGCCGUUCCGCGGUUCAACCUUGCCUCGGAUGGAUGGUACCGGCCGGCUCGUCUCUUGCUUGUGUUCGAUCCUGAAACAGAUAGGAACCUUUAGUGAGUUUUCAAUAGGAACAAGAACAGAACAAGAUAUGAUUCUUUUGGUUUUUAUGGAAUUGGAUGAAUGAAAUCUAAAACAAAAGAUAGAGAAAAGAGUAGAUUGGCGGAUGGAAUCUGCUGCUGGACGUAUGUCUCUCUCAGCAAGAUGCCUAGGUCGGAUAGGAAGAUAGAUA